AGCCCGAGAGCCCGUGGGAUCUACCUGUAUGUAUUUGACCAGACCUGAAUUUUCGUACAUUGAGACCCCUAUACCUACCAUGCAUGAGGUGGGGACUCACUAAGCUCAAAGUGGUCAACGCGCCGAGCGCUCAGGUAGGACAGGUACCGAUUUUGACGGAUUUUAAAUCCAUUUGACCACGUCUGCCGUUUUGAAAUUUUGAAAAUAUAUGAUUAUUAUUAUCGGAAAAUAAGAAUGGCAGACCAUUAUCGCGCAUUUUACUUUGUGGCAGACCACUUUGAAAAUGCUAAAUUGCAUUGAAAAUGCAAAAUUUUGAAAGUAAUUGACUAGAUCUGCCAUUGAUUUAAUAAUAUGUUGUUUAUUAUAGUCUUAAAAACUUAUAUUGAUCACGGCAGACCUCUACAUUGCGUACAUACAUCAACAUAUAAUAAAAUCUUAGCUACUACCCGGCCAGAUGUAUAUUAUGUUUUCCGUUCACUGUUUUAGAGGAAUAUAAUUUACUUGCGAUUUACUUUAGCAAUGUAUUUACCGAAAUUAAUAUUUUUUUAUAUUAUAUAUACUAAACUUCAUUAGUUAGACAAUUAAGAAGUGAAUUUUUUAUGGAAUAAUUAUAAAUAAUACGGUAUAAUGCUGAUCAAAAAAUAAUUCAAUUCCUCAUUUUUAUCAUUCAACAUUUAACUUGCCAGCUAUACAAUGCCAAAAAAUCUAGUGAUGUAGAUGAUGGAAGGUUCCAGCUAUUCGUUAGCAACUAUAAAUAUUCAGACAUCAAUGAAAAUUAUAGAAAAAAAAAUCAAAAAUUUGAGGCAAGCUCAAUACCACCGCAUAAGAGUGAGCUUUAUCAACAACUUUUGAGGGCCCACUAUAUUUCUUCUAUUUGGAGAAAUGCUUACAAAAAGCAACUGACAACUUUAGACCCAUUGGAGUAUGGUUGGAUUGAGCAGGACAACAUAUAUGCCUUCAAAGGGUUCGAAGGUGACCAACUUCCAUAUUUUGUGAGUGACUUAAUCACCAAUGUUCCUGUAUUCGAUUCAAUGGUUGAUGAAGACGAGUCGCCUAACGAUAAAGAUGACUCCGAUGAUGAUGAUGAUGAAUGAAGAUUGAUAUAUAUAUAUAUAUAAUAUGUAAUGCAUGCAUGAUAUAUUUUUUUAACUGAUUUAACACUUUUAAAUUUUGUCUUGACGAAAUAAAAAUGAGGAAUUGAAUUCUUUUUUGAUCAGCA